UACGUAGGGUGCAAGCGUUAAUCGGAAUUACUGGGCGUAAAGCGUGCGUAGGCGGUUCGUUAAGUCAGAUGUGAAAGCCCCGGCCUCAACCUGGGAAUGGCAUUGGAAACUGGCGGGCUGGAGUGUGGCAGAGGGGGGUGGAAUUCCGCGUGUAGCAGUGAAAUGCGUAGAGAUGCGGAGGAACACCGAUGGCGAAGGCAGCCCCCUGGGCUGACACUGACGCUCAUGCACGAAAGCGUGGGGGGCAAACAGG
rnacentral:rRNA from 1 species